GCCCCAUUCAACAGUGUGUGUGCAAAAACUGAAACCAUACAGAGAUUAGCAUGGUACCUGUGCAAGGAUGACAUGCAAAUUUGUGAAAUAUUUCACAUUCUU